GCAACUCCGCGAUCGAUUAUCGAUUCAGACAAAUCGAUUCAGACAGUCGAAACGACGGAACGUGAUUCCGCCAUUAACGUGACUCGACUCGUCUCGUCUCGUGAUAUUCUUUGCGAAACUUUGUGACGUAAAACGUAGUGAAAAACGCAGAAAUAUUCUCUCUUUUUAUCGAAUUUAAAGCUCAAAUUGUUUUUUAACUAUUUGUUUGAAAAGUGCAGACGUUCGACGUUUUCGGUAUAACUUUUAUUCGGAAAACAAUAAAGUUUGAAGUUGUGGUGUACUUGAGUAAAUUCCAAUAAUUAGGGGACUGAUUCUUAAACUUUGCCAAUUUAUCACGAUGGGAAUUCUUCCCGUGAAUGGUGAAACUUUGGACUGAUAUUUUUACCUAUAUUCAAGCAUCGCAAUAUCCAGUGCCCUUUCAAUGCAUCGAUUGUCGUGAAAAGUUAGAAAAAUGAAUAACCAUUUAAAAGAAAUCAUCGAAAAAGGGAACGAUAUUCUUCUUUCAAGUUGAAGAAAACACGAGAGAAACCGUGUACAAUAAUAAUAAGAAUUAAGAAGAGGCGAAAAAGAGUCCUGUCUACGGUCACGGACACCCAACAGCAAUUAAAAGCAAUUCUUCUUGGCAGUAUAUCACUCUUACGUGCACUACUGCCGCGGAUCCCCAUUAAAAUCGACCUUCGACUCCACCCGCGAGCAACAACGGUAUCUCCUGUUGUUCCUCUUGUUUUCAAAGGGUACGCUCGAGCAGGGAAGAUCGAGAGGAACUCGAAAGG